rnacentral:rRNA from 1 species
AUGGAUGCGCUCGAGGUGCGCUACGGCCGCUAUGUGCUUUUGGCGACAGCGGACAGAGAUGGCGAGGAGAAAGUGACGCCGGCAGCUCUGCUGGCGACCUUGGAGCAGCGUUACGGCAUGCUGCUGUCGGAGGUGGUCAUUGAGGUCGCGUGCCCACCACACGUGUGGCUGACCUUCUCGACGGAGGAGAAGUGCAUUGAUGUGCUCUUCUCGAAGAUCAAGUGUUGCCGACGCUGGAUGCAGUUUUCACGCUAGAGCAGAAUGAUUCCUGCUCAGCCGGGGGCUCCGGAGUACAAGAGCAAGAGCUUCGAAGGCCUCCCGAACCAGGCCUGGACGACGACUUCAGUGCAAGAAGUUCUGAAGGAACUUGGUGGCGAGCUGAUUGAGAUCCUGCCGCCGGCAAGCCGCCGCGAGCUCGAGGUAAUGGCUUGGCUUUGUGACUGA